GUGCCAGCAGCCGCGGUAAUACGUAGGGUGCGAGCGUUGUCCGGAAUUACUGGGCGUAAAGAGCUCGUAGGCGGUUUGUCACGUCGUCUGUGAAAUCCCUCGGCUUAACCGGGGGCGUGCAGGCGAUACGGGCAGACUUGAGUACUACAGGGGAGACUGGAAUUCCUGGUGUAGCGGUGAAAUGCGCAGAUAUCAGGAGGAACACCGGUGGCGAAGGCGGGUCUCUGGGUAGUAACUGACGCUGAGGAGCGAAAGCAUGGGGAGCGAACAGGAUUAGAUACCCUGGUAGUCCAUGCCGUAAACGGUGGGCGCUAGGUGUGGGGUCCUUCCACGGAUUCCGUGCCGUAGCUAACGCAUUAAGCGCCCCGCCUGGGGAGUACGGCCGCAAGGCUAAAACUCAAAGGAAUUGACGGGGGCCCGCACAAGCGGCGGAGCAUGUGGAUUAAUUCGAUGCAACGCGAAGAACCUUACCAGG
rnacentral:rRNA from 1 species